rnacentral:misc_RNA from 1 species
AUGACCUCAACCCUUAUCAAUUUGUGUCAAUACAAGCCAUGUUAAACAAAUAUUUUCGAAAUGACGAAUGUGAUUUUCUUUGCCAUAUUAUUUUGUUUGGUCACACGCAGUGACGGUACAAGAUGUUUCGAGUGCAAGAAUGUUCCAUACCCACGUGAUUGCGCAAAAUUGAGAAUUUGCAAUUCUCAUGAGCAAUGUUACACGGAGCAAGUGGUUACAGCAAGCGGAAACAUUGUUUAUAACUCUGGCUGCCUUUCCAAAUCGCGUUGCUCUACUGUUGCGACAUCACUUGUUGGCAGAAGGUCGAUAACAAACAUGGUGGAUAAACGCUCCUCACAUGACCUUGUCACGUGCACAGAAUGUUGUACAGACGACUUCUGCAACAUGAAUGGGUGUGGAACGCAAGGAGUUCCAGCUGAACAACGUGGUCCGUACUUGCUACACGUGUGAUUGCUCUGGACCCCAAAGAUUGCACUGAUGUAGCCGUUUGUUCUAAAAACGAACUUUGCAUCAUGUACAAUCAUUCGGGGUUUAGCGGCUUUCCGGACACUAUUUACAGAGGUCAGUGUGAAACACGAGCGGCAUGCGAUGCGAUAGCACAUGCAUUCACUAGUCAGAGAUGCGCCCCUAUGUGUUGCAAUACAGAUUUCUGUAACGAUCAUUGUGGAAACCCCCAGAAUUUGUCCAUGACUACACCUCAACCAGGCACUACAAAUGGAAACACAGAGAUUUCUACAAGUAAAACACAUUUGAGCAACACCUUUCAAUGCGAUAUUCACAAUGGUUUUGUUCAUUUACAAAAUGCGCAAGCGCAGCUAUGUGUCCAUAUUGUUGUUCACCAUAAACAUUCCUGGAAUAGCUCCCGAACAUCAUGCGAAAGACAAGGAGGGAAUCUUGUGGUCCUAGAUACCCUUGACAAAGCCCAUUUAUUGAGGAAUGAACUUGAAAGUCAGUCUAGUAGAAUACAACCACGAAUUUUAUUGGAUAGGAGCUAAAGACAUCUUGAAAAAUAACCAGUUCUCCUGGGUGAAUGGUCACGCAUUACUAAAGUCAGAGGCUGAUUGGGACAAGACUCAACCUACCAUCACAAUCACGGCGAAGACCAGGAUUGCGUUUCUAUGUAUAAAGAUACUACGCCAUCAUUCCGUUGGCACGACAGAAAUUGUGAUGAUCAUGGAAAUUAUAUCUGUGAACUAAAAUAAAUACG